UGACCUCUGACCUCAAAUCAGGUA
rnacentral:rRNA from 1 species